rnacentral:rRNA from 1 species
GAUGAACGCUAGCGAUAGGCUUAACACAUGCAAGUCGAGGGGCAGCAUUAUUUUAGCUUGCUAAGAUAGAUGGCGACCGGCGCACGGGUGCGUAACGCGUAUGCAACCUGCCUGUAAUUAGGGAAUAACCCGGUGAAAGUCGGACUAAUACCCUAUAUUCUUCUUUCUCCGCAUGGGGGAGGACGGAAAGAUUUAUUGAUUACAGAUGGGCAUGCGUCCCAUUAGCUAGUUGGUAAGGUAACGGCUUACCAAGGCAACGAUGGGUAGGGGGACUGAGAGGUUGACCCCCCACACUGGUACUGAGACACGGACCAGACUCCUACGGGAGGCAGCAGUGAGGAAUAUUGGUCAAUGGGCGAGAGCCUGAACCAGCCAAGUCGCGUGAAGGACGACGGUUCUAUGGAUUGUAAACUUCUUUUGUAGAGGAAUAAUGGCAGCUACGUGUAGCUGAGAUGCAUGUACUCUACGAAUAAGUAUC